AAACCUAUCCAGCAGGGGAGAUACUAUGAUUAGAAAGGUGGUUUUCCCAUAACAAGUCUUAUCCAUUGCAUUCCAGAUGUGCUGAUCCCUGUAAUUUCUCCAAAUGUGAGAGACUCAACUGCAUGAUAUAUGGUAGUGGAGGACUGUGUUCAUACUCUCCCCUG